AACGUGAGCUGGAGGGAGCACUUUUACUGUUGCACCGCUUGCUCCUUGGGCAGAAAGCUGCAGUUUGACAUGGCAGGAAAGUACAAAGUGCUAAGGCAAUAAAUUCCCCCUCCCAUCAUAAAUAGCACAGCAAUAUUUGCCCAUGUACUGCUGCUUUUCUGCUUCUGUGCUGCCAUAUAUGUGUUUCAUUAGAUAAUGCUGCAGGAUCAGGCCCAAGGGCCUACAUUUUCUGUGCAUCUGUCUCUCACCAUUCAUUAGUUCAGGCCAAAUCCUUUUUGUUUGUGUAUUUUUUCUUUAUGUUUGUCUAUCAGUGCCCAUGAUUGUACAUAUACUUGCUCUGCUAAUAUAUAUAGAGCUCAGUAUUUGCCCUUGUUCGUUAACAAGAAGGGAUAUGGGUAGUAUAUUGAGUGAUAUGGCAGUUCCACCCAGUGACCCACUCGACGUAUUGCUGUGCCACAUAUACUAACUCAGUGUUGCAAUUCAUGGGGAUUUAUGGUAGAACCACUCACUGUGUGAGCCUGUGUGUGUCCCUCAUACAAUAUCACACAGAAUGGGAAAUAUAUGUUUGUUGGGGUGUGGGGAGUGCUCUAUAAUACCGGUCAGGUUGGAGAAUGAGAUCUGUGAAUAAGAUAUGUACAUAUCAGAAUGGAGAGUUUGUGGAAAUAACUUGGGGUUGUGGGAUGCGGGGGAAAUGGGAAACUUCCUCUGAAGCAGAAAGACCACGGCAACUCCCUGGCAACAGUCUGGAAAAGAAACCAUUUCUCUAGAAACGAAUUUGGCCGAGGAGCCGGAUUUUGUGGGCUGAGCUGGAAAAGGAAAAUAAAGUCUGACUGUUGUUUUGUUGCUGAGAAUAAGGGAACCUGGGGGAGAGGGGAAGGCGCUCCAGCAGCUGCGCUGGUCUCAGGGAAGGGAUUUUCUGUGCGCCCAUAUGGGUUGCUAUGGGGGGAGUCUAGCAGUCAGUCCUGUGGCUGCUCUCUGCCUGCCUCUCCCGCUAACCAGGAGCAAACUGUCAGCUCUCUUCCCAUUCCUGUGCGCCGGUCUUGCCUAGGACUUGACAUACCCACUCCCACAGAUGCCUGCCAGUGCUGCAGAGACCAGUUCAGCCUUCUCUUAUAUUCACAGAGUGAGCCACCCCUCCUGGAUUCUCCCUCUGCCUUCCAGAGAUCCUGCGUACCACCCACUACAGAAGGCAGAAGGACUUCAGAAUCCAUUACUUUAAACUGGAGCAAGGGGAAGAACAAAUGUUUUGUAAAGCUCUGUCACCAUUAAGCAUUCCAUAUCUAACAGUGGAGAAACUAAUACUGCAAAUAGGAAUUACAACUAAUAAAACAACUGGCCUGGAUGAUAUAAAUAUACAGUAUAUCCAUGUGUGCUAAGCAAGUAAUAAAUGGAUGGCCUUUUCCUUCUCUGUGGACUUCUUUCAAAGCAGCCUGUACCUUAAGGAAAUCCGGAUGGAAAAAUGCUACAGAUUUUUCCGAUUUAAAAAAAAAGAAAAAAGAGAGAAACCCCAGUAGACUCCAUUCAGUGUUUAGUAAAAGCUUGAGGAAACAAUUCAGAGUAAUGUUAUUU